GUUGAUGUUUUCAUCGCCGAAUUGAUCAAAGGUAAUUGAUUGUUCAUUUUAAUGGAAAGGUUAAAGACAAUUAUGAAUAGGAAAAGGAUAAAUUGAAUACAAAAUGAGAGGAAGAGGCUAAUAUUGAUGAGUCAAUCUAUUUUGUUUUGCUAAUACGAUAAUCAUUUUACUUUCAAAUGUUUACCUAGUCUCCGUCUUUCUCCCUCUUCUCCGAUUGAUAUAACCAUUAGGAUGAUCAAAUGAUCAAAUUAUACUCAUAAUCUUACAUAAAACGUGAUAAUAAACCAAAAAAACAUCAAUUUAUUGGGUUUCGAUUAUCUACUGCCAUCUCUUGGAUCUACAUUAAACCUUUUCGACCUGAUUUCCCAGAAAACUUUAAACGAAAAAACAUUUGAAUUUUGGUUGAUAUUUUGAUUGAGUUUUUCGUGAUUGGUUGACAAUUACGAAUUUUAUUAAAGUGUUUAUUAAAAUUUAUACUUCUGCCUGCGUCAACUUUACAUCUAAUCAAAUGGCUUUUAAUUUAGUCUCGUUAUGACCAUAGAUUGGUUAGUCUUGCCAUGCCAGAUGUAAUCUUUUGGAUUGGAUUAUUGAGUUUACUGCUCAUCAACCUUCAAUUGUAAUUAUUUACUCUUUUUUUGGAUAACUCAAGUUUGAUUUGAGUAAUUGAAAUUGGAAAAGGUGAAACAAAUUUGAGGACAAUUUAAAUCGUAUGAAUCAACCAUCAAUUAAUAAUGAAGGUUAAAGCUAGUGGUAAUAUGAGCCAAUAUUCAAGCACUCUGAGUGGAUGAGAUAAAUGAUUUUCUCAUUUCGGUAGCUCCAGGAAAAAGCAUACCAUGUUCAUAAUCAUGUACGCUCUGUGGUGUGUUCAGACGGUUUGCCACUGUAUUGGUCUCUGAUCUUACAUGGUAUGCAACUGGCAACUGUAACAUUAUAUGGUUAAGAGUUGCCCUUUCUGAUCCAUUGCUAGACAUUUUGGGGCUUUGAUGUUUAAUUUGACAAAUUUGUAUCCAUCUUCACUCAAUCAAGAUUAAUCGCGACGGUGGGCCAGAUCAUUUUGAAUUUCAAAGCUAAUCAUAUUCUGUGUACAUGGUCAGGCUGAAGAACCAAAGAAAUUUCUAGGACUUAAUCGUUUGGCUUCAAAAAAUCAACUUUCUUCAGAUCUUUACCUAGAAUAUAAAAAAAAUGUUGAACCAGGAAAAUCAAUUUGGAUAAAUCAAUGGAAGAUGAUGUUUCAAUUUUUACAAAUUUUUAUUUCUAACACCACAUGUCUUUCAAAUGUUUCAAUAUUCAAUGUCGUCUUUUUCAGAUGAUUCAGAUUAUAUAAAAGUCUAAGUUACCCAAAAACAAAGUAUUUAUCAAGUGAGAUACAAUCUUCCAGUUUUUACUCUCCAUUUCCUCCAUUUCUCAUUUAAUCAAGGAGUUGCAAGGAUUAAUUAACCGUUGAAUAUCAACCUUUUUCUUGUUCCAGUUUCAUUCUUGAUACAAGUUACUAUUCCCGAUGAUCAUAUUAAUGUGCUCGAUAACUUAUUGCUAUCAAAUUUUUCUCCCUGAUGGUUAAGAUUAAAAUGAUUAAGAUGAUGAGCUUAAAGACAAAGAGUUAAACGAGAAGUGAUGAUCAGCUUGAUUAUCCAAGGAUUUUCAUGCAUGUGAGACAAAUUGUAACACAAGGUUAACCGAUUGACUGUUGUUAAUUAACCCUGUUUUCAACAAUCGAGGAUAUUUCACUUUUCAAUUUGCAAGCUUUUAAGGUAAUGAUAUUUUAUUAAAUUGACUGAGAAAUUCAUUUUUAAUUAUUUAAUUUAGAUAUUCAAUGUUUGCUUACCUUUGAGUCGUGUGAAUAGCAUUUGCCGUUGCUCUAGCUUCUGUAUGUUUAGACUUGUUUUGAUUUUGUUUGUUUCUCACUUCUCACUUUACCUUCUUCACUGUCUCCUAAUUGUUGAUUUAUUGUUGUUGAUAAAUUAAUUGUCCGAUUAUUAUUUACUUUAAUCAAUGUGUUUCACAGUGUUCUUCAUGCUGCUUAGUUAACCAUUCAGUGUAUUGUUUAUUUACUCCUUUGAUUGUCUAUCUGUAGACAUCUAUCCAACUAUCAAACAUGAGUCUUACUUGAUACACUUUAUUAUAAAUGUUUUUUAAUUAACUGAUUGUGUUAAUUUUGUUUUACUCACUUUAUCACUCAAGCACAGAAAUUAAAUAUAAUUUGUUUAUCUUAA